rnacentral:rRNA from 1 species
UUGAGAGUUUGAUCCUGGCUCAGGACGAACGUUGGCGGCGUGUUUAAGGCAUGCAAGUCGAGGGAUCGGCCGUAGCAAUACGGUACGGACCGGCAGACGGGAGAGGAACACAUUGGCAACCUACCUUCGAGACGGGGAUAGCCCCGGGAAACCGGGAUUAAUACCCGAUGGUCAUGGGGGGACAUAAGUCAUUCCCAUGUAAAUCAUUUCUGGCUCGAAGAGGGGCCUAUGCCCUAUCAGCUAGUUGGUGAGGUAAUAGCUCACCAAGGCUACGACGGGUAGGGGACGUGAGAGCGUGACCCCCCUCACUGGGACUGAGAAACUGCCCAGACACCUACGGGUGGCUGCAGUCAAGAAUCUUCCGCAAUGGACGAAAGUCUGACGGAGCGACGCCGCGUGCAGGAUGAAGCCCCUCGGGGUGUAAACUGCUUUUAUAGGGGACGAAUUUGUGACGGUACCCUAUGAAUAAGAGGUUGCUAACUCUGUAAGCCCAAACCGGGCCUGGUGCAGAGUGAUUGUGGUAACACAGUCAAAGAAAAUCUCGCUAUAUGCUGGAAACUUCUGUUAAUGGCACACUACCUAAAAACGGUGACAAUGUGUGUCAAACCCAAAAAAACGUACUACCGCACGUAUAGGGGUUGCAGAACAAUCAGCAGGAAACCGCAAACUACAACCGGUUUGCGGGCUCCUCAGAGACUACACGCGAGACUCCCGAGUUAGUCGGGAUGAUGAUAUAGUCCAACGAGCUCUUCAUAUGAAGGCAGAAGUGAAAGAAAUAGUAACCGCCUCGCUUUUAGGUGAUGGUUGGUUGACGGAAUUGAAGCCGAGAACAGGAACCGCUAUGUACUAUGUGAAAUAUCAUGGUCGUAGCCGGGAUUAUCUGCAAUGGCUUCACGGACAAGUUCGCGAACUUGGUCCUUCUGAACUGAAGGAAGUCGCGCGCUAUGGUCAAUAUUAUUUCUACACGAAAGCCCGAACAGACAUCGGCGAACUAAGAAAACUUUUUUACCCAAACGAGGGAAGAAAAGUGAUUCCGCGAAAUAUCCGCGAACUGCUAUCUACGCCCAAAGCCUUGGCCAUUUGGUACCAAGACGAUGGAACAUUAGAUAAACGGUCGCGUGAUCAUUGGAAUGCAAUGUUCGCUACGUAUUGUUUUGGUUAUGAAGAGUGCGAGCUGCUUGCGAAAACACUGAAAGAUAACUUCGACCUGGCUGUAUCGGUUUGCCGAUGCCAGAUGCGGGGUAAAAUGUAUUAUCGGCUUUAUGUGCGAUCCCAAAGUAUGAAUAACUUCAUACGACUCGUACAGCCGCAUAUACACCCAUCAUUCAGUUACAAAAUUUCGCUUAACAAUGGCCAGCAGCAGCGGUAAUACAGAGACCUCAAACGUUGUCCGGAUUCAUUGGGCGUAAAGCGUCCGCAGGUGGCAUGGAAAGUCAGGGGUCAAAGCUUCCGACUUAAUCGGAAAUCUGCUUCUGAUACUUCCAAGCUAGAGGUUGUGAGAGGCACACGGAACUGCCGGUGUAGUAGUAAAAUGCGUUGAUAUCGGCAGGAACACCAAAGGCGAAGGCAGUGUGCUGGAACAAUCCUGACACUCAGGGACGAAAGCGUGGGGAGCGAAUGGGAUUAGAUACCCCAGUAGUCCACGCCCUAAACUAUGUGUACUAGGUAUAUGGAGUAUCGACCCUCCAUGUGCCGUUUAAAAAAGCUAACGCGUUAAGUACACCGCCUGGGGAGUACGGCCGCAAGGUUAAAACUCAAAGGAAUAGACGGGGACCCGCACAAGCGGAGGAUCAUGCGGUUUAAUUCGAUGGUACGCGACGAACCUUACCGGGGCUCAACUACUAGCUGCAAGCCGCAAGAAACUGUGGCCGCCUUCGAGGGUGCUAGAUAGGUGCUGCAUGGUUGCCGUCAGCUCGUGCCGUGAGGUGUACCCUUAAGUGGGGUAACGAGCGCAACCCUCGUUGUGUGUUACAUUGGACACACGAGACUGCUCGCGCAAGCGAGAGGAAGGUGGGGACGACGUCAAAUCAGCAUGGCUCUUACGUCCCGGGCGACACGCAUGAUACAAUGGCCAGUACAAAGGGUUGCCAAGCCGCGAGGUGGAGCUAAUCCCAUAAAGCUGGUCUCAGUUCGGAUUGCAGGCUGCAACUCGCCUGCAUGAAGCUGGAUUCGCUAGUAAACGCGCAUCAGCCACGGCGCGUUGAAUACGUUCUCGGGUCUUGUACUCACCGCCCGUCACACCACGAAAGUUGGCAAUGCCCGAAGGCUCUCGUUCGAGGGACGAAGGCAGGGUCAAUGAUCAGGGUGAAGUCGUAACAAGGCAUCCGUAGCGGAAGCUGUGGAUGGAUCACCUCCUU